ACUGGGUUGGCCGAGUGGUUAAGGCGUUGGACUUAAGUUCCAAUAGACAAGUGUCCGCGUGGGUUCGAACCCCACACCCAGUA
rnacentral:tRNA from 1 species